rnacentral:lncRNA from 1 species
UGUUUACUUUAUCUUGAAAAUUUACCUUCCAAUCAAAAUAUAAAUUUUACCAGUCUAGCUAUUAAAUACAAUCUUCAUAAUAAGGAAGGGAAAAUACCUGGGAAUGCUGGUCAGGUCAUAAAGGAGCUUCUGAAAGAAAAUAGUGCUGAUGUAGCAAAAUUUAAUUUAAAGUCUAUUUCUACUUUUAAUCAAACUGAAAAUACAAACAAUUGUAAUUCCAAGCCUCGAAGGAGAAAAAGAAGGUUAAAUGUACCAGGC